UCCCUGGUAGUAUAUCGGUUAGUACACGCGCCUGUCAUCAUUUCAGCGGUGCGCGCGAAAGCGGGGUUCGACUCCCCGCCAGGGAG